rnacentral:sRNA from 1 species
AGCGGAAGUGUCCUUCUUUCCUUUUUGCUGUAGGCCCGGGUGGUUGCUGCCGAAAUGGGCAAGUUCAUGAAACCUGGGAAGGUGGUGCUUGUCCUGGCUGGACGCUACUCCGGACGCAAAGCUGUCAUCGUGAAGGUAUCAGCCUCGCGGGACUCUGCGUCCUUGCAUCCCGGGACCAGGCUGGCUGCGGCGGGGCGGACAGGCUUGGAAUUCAAGGCCUGUUUCUGGGGCAGUAGCCAGUGAGCACGGUCAGGGUGAACGUGGGAGAGCUUUUGAGAGAGGAAAAAGCACAGUAAAAGCAAAUGUGAGCUGAAUUGGGCUCCCAACGCAUAAAGCCUUCUCCACCAGAGGCUUUAAAUAUAUAGUAAUAGUGGCUGACAUUGCACGCUUGCUAUGUGCUCCCACUGCCUUUCAGGUAUUGUCAUGUGCAGUCCUUGAAGUAAUCAUAGGGGAUUCCUUUUCUUUUCUUUCUUUUUUUUUUUUUUUUUUGAGACGGGAUCUCUGUCCAGGCUAAGUGCAGUGGCGUGAUCACUGCAGCCUCGACCUCCCGGGCUCAAGCGAGUCUCCCAUCUCAGCCUCCCGAGUG